GCUAACAUUUCUGAAAGGGUUCUGGAGAGGAAGCACUUGCCCCAUGUCCUCAGUGAGUUUGGAAGCAGCUGUGCUUGGGCUGGCUUCCCCGCACCCACCAGGAUCUGGGCAAUGGCAGCCCAGUGGCAGGAGGGUCUCAAGGGUGCCAGGAAGGGACCCUUGGUGCUCCCAGCACCAGGACUUGGAUGGGGUCUCAACUGUGAGCAGGUGCAAGGGGAAGGUGUGCCACGACCCAGGUGGAAGGACCGGGCUAAGGUGAGUUUCAGAGAGAGGGGUUCCUAUGGGAGCAUUCACCAUGCCAGCCUGACCCAGGCCAGCCCAAAGCAGCCCCAUAGCCCGAUCCUUUCCCUUAGGGGAGACCCACGAGUGGCAGCCCCCAGCAAGGACACUGGCUGCUCCCAGGAACAUGUUCACAGAGUCGAAGUCCCUGAUGCCAGCAGCACAGACGGGAGCACAGACAGUCUGGGUCAGGGACCCCCAUGAGCAGCAGCAAUUGGCCCGACCUCGGGGUGUCUGGCCAGUUCCUGGCCCACUUUUAUCACCUCUUGUCCAGUCUAUGUCCCCACAUGGGCCUGCACCUGAACAUGCACAUGGAGCUGUUGAUGGCUGACCACGGGCCCAGGUGCUUGAUGCCCCUGGACUGCACACCCCACACAGCAGGGGUGGACCGUGACACCAAGCUGAGCUGCUGGGGCCUGCGAGCUGGAGGUGCCUGGUGUGUCCUUGUCGGCUCCCCUGGGACAUGUGCUCCGGUUCCUCUGGGGAGCAUUGCCUGAAGGGUAUGCCCCCUUGUCAUCGACACUGCCCUAGGCCUUGGUCUGCUCCGUCUCUGCCAGUCUUACCCCAGCAGUGUUGGUGUUUGGACUUGCCUGAAACCCCCUGCUCCUUUCUGCUGUCCCUUCUACCCUCCCCCAGUCCAAAGCAUCCCCAGCAGCCCUAGGUGUCACGGGACACCCACAGCAUGACUACCUGGGGAGGGGGGCUCUUGUGAGCCUCUGCCUGACCCCAGGGCCCACCCUGACUACUCCCCAAACUGAGUCCUUCUACUGGUGCUACAGUGCCCACUGUCCCAGGGCUGCACCCCCUAGUCUGGGACUCUUCCCAAUGCCCAUCGCACCUAGGGCUUCCAGGAUUCCCCUUGUCCCUUCUCCCACCAUCCCCAUGCUCUUGGACCUCAGCGAUCUUAAGACAGGGCUUGGGGUUCUGGCCACAUGGCACAUGGCAGCUAGGAUUGUUGGUCUCAGUGAACCUACAUUCUAUUAAAAACAUGGAUCCCCCAAAAUAAAAUAGAGCAGCAGCUGUGAGGUUGGCAUCCCAUAGGAAUGCCAGCUGUGAGGUUGGCAUCCCAUAAGAACAGCAGCUUGAGCCCAGCUGCUCCACUUCUGAUCCAAAAUUCCCUGCUCAUGUACUUGGGAUGGCC